rnacentral:lncRNA from 1 species
UAUGAAGCACCUGAGUUGUUGCCUCAAAAUUGAUUGUUUCACCUUCAGGCCUCUAAAAGAGCAAACCCAAAAUGAAAAUGAUGAAACGAAGCCUCAGAUAGAAAAAUUCAAGAAGCUAAUUAUGAACUCAUGAACUGCUCUCAACCUGCAUUAUCUUUAGUCAAGAAAAGAAAGAAACCCAGAUCCCACAUAGUACAAAAUAACUGGUGAAUCUUGACUCUAUACUAGAAUGCCAAUUA